AAAAAAAAUACACCCAACAUCUCCUUUUCUUUCCCCUUGUAAAUUAACAUAGCAUACAGCAAACACAAAGAAUUUCAGUAAAGGUUCAUUGUGGUGUUGCUCAAAGGUAGAAUUAAAAUACCUAUCCUCACAUAAAGUUGGUUUUUGCAUGGUAUUUCUCCUCUCAAUUAUGUCUACGUUAUGAUAAGCAAUAGCGAUAUCCCCCAAUAGAUAACUUUUAUAUGGUAGUAACAGAAAGGGCCAAUCAGUACAGGCUUGAUUAUAUCCAACACCAUAACCAGUUGAGUCACUGCUGCUAAUAUAAGCAAUCAUUAGAUCUUCAAAUUGAAGCAUAACAUGAUAACCAAACACAGAACAGCAAAGUGACGAAAAUCAACAAUAAGCAGCCGGUAAAUCUGCUCUUUGCAAUUGUCAAACAAAAGAUAUUAAAGCAGAAAGUCCAGAGAAGAGAAAGACAUCAUCCUCCCUUUAUUCCCUUGCCACCCACUAGAAAGAGAGACAGAAAGAGGGAGGGAGAUGGAGAAGAAAGAAGAGGUUUCUCACUGUCUCCCUCCAUGGGUGGUCAUAUCUCCUUUUCAAAAAGGGCAAACUGUGAGUGGAUGGAAUAGGAUGAGAAUAUAGUUGCUGUUUUACUCUUUCGUUGGAGGAUCAAUAUUCCCUCUUGCUAUCACUCUCUCCCAUGAUGAUAAGAAUCCCACCAAAAGAAGGAUAGAUGCUAUAUGAAAUAUCAGGUUCAGCUUCUAAUAAAGAUGAACUUUCAAGAAGGAAUACUCCAAAAUUCCAAUUCUCAUAGUUGCAUGAUAAGCGAACUGUGAAAUGAAAAUUUAUGCUAUCUAACAAAUACGAGAGGAGGGGGAGGGAGAGGGGGGGAAUAAUCAGAGCCUCAUGAUUGGAAUGCAAUUGAAGGUUUCAUGUCCAAGCCUAAUAAUGUCACCUAUUUUCAAUUCUCCAACCCUCUAUACAGCCAUAACAUUACAAAAUCCAUGUAAAAGAUUAAGUAACAUGAAUUGUCUAGAGCAUAAUUCAUGCUCAACUAGAAUCCCACUUUACCACAAUCUUAUUCAUGCAUCCUCUUAAUCAAUUUAGUCAA
rnacentral:misc_RNA from 1 species